rnacentral:rRNA from 1 species
UACGGAGGGGGCUAGCGUUGUUCGGAAUUACUGGGCGUAAGGCGCACGUAGGCGGGUCUUUAAGUCAGGGGUGAAAUCCUGGAGCUCAACUCCAGAACUGCCUUUGAUACUGAGGAUCUUGAGUUCGGGAGAGGUGAGUGGAACUCCGAGUGUAGAGGUGAAAUUCGUAGAUAUUCGGAAGAACACCAGUGGCGAAGGCGGCUCACUGGCCCGGUACUGACGCUGAGGUGCGAAAGCGUGGGGAGCAAACAGG